ACUAUCCACCAGCCCAGACUAACGAGCCGCCACCUGAAACAUACGUGUCACAUACGGUAUGCACCAUGGAGCCAGCAGAACAAGAACGAGCACCAGCACAAAAGAGCGGAGCAGCGGUGGCUGCAGGAAUGGUUGCCGGUGCUGCACUGAUGGGUGCCGGCCGACAUCAUCACCACGACGUAGGACCGAGGCGCCAUCGAGGACAUGGGGGCUUCACAGUAGUGCACCAUCAUCGCCGUUAAUGCGACGCUAGCGCCAGCUAGCGAGCAUUACUCAUAUAUCCAACAUUCGCGAGUAGGGGCCUACUAGUGGGCAGCUCUUUUCCAUGGUACAAAAAUACGGCAGAAGUAUAGCACUAAUAGAACGGCAUAGACGUACGUCUAUCCAUUACAAAUCUUUCUUUGUGCUAGAGAAAAGGAAAGGCUAGUAUUAUCAAUUACACAUUGUUGUUAUAUCAAGUACCCGUUUAUUAUUGGUCUAUAGAUACUUCCCACUCGCUAUAUGCACUCUUCAAAACUGUUAUGCUUACAUUAUACUGGUAUAUAAAUUUCCGAUUCUCGAAUACAUUAUACGGAUAUAUAAAAUUAAUAAAGUUACUUCUAUGCAAUAUC